GGGGCUAUUGCUCAGCUGGGAGAGCGCGUGCAUGGCAUGCAAGAGGUCAGCGGUUCGAUCCCGCUUAGCUCCACCA
rnacentral:tRNA from 1 species